UACGUAGGUGGCAAGCGUUGUCCGGAUUUACUGGGCGUAAAGAGCGCGCAGGCGGUCGAUCAAGUCGAGUGUGAAAGCCCCCGGCUCAACUGGGGAGGGUCAUUCGAUACUGAUCGACUCGAAGGCAGGAGAGGGUAGUGGAAUUCCCGGUGUAGUGGUGAAAUGCGUAGAUAUCAGGAGGAACACCAGUGGCGAAGGCGACUACCUGGCCUGUUCUUGACGCUGAGGCGCGAAAGCUAGGGGAGCAAACGGG
rnacentral:rRNA from 1 species